rnacentral:RNase_P_RNA from 1 species
CGUGCAGGCCGGGUGACCGCGGGUCGUUCGCGCAGCUUUCUGACGCUGGCGGCUCGAGGAAAGUCCGGACACCGCAGGGCAGGGCGCUGGGUCGGUUCGUGAGAAUCGGUCCAGGCGGCGAAAGCCGACGGAAAGUGGAACAGAAAGGAGACCGCCGGUGGAGGGAAACCAAAGCCGGUAAGGGUGAAACGGUGGGGUAAGAGCCCACCAGCGGUCGUGGCGACACGGCCGGCUAGCCAAACCCCGUCCGGUGCAAGGCGAAGCAGGUCC